rnacentral:lncRNA from 1 species
GGGGCACAGGCUUGCUGGUGGCAUCCCGCACAGACACUCUCUCCUCACAGCUCCCACCACGGGGACUGGAGGCAGGAGGAGCCGACGGGCCCCUGGAACGGCCGCGGUGCGUCCCGAGGUGGGAGCCGCAAGCCCGAGGCUCGGCCGAGUCCCAGGGGACCCUAACGGAGGCCGGGCUGGAAGGCCAAGGUGGCUGCCACGUGGGAAGGUAUCCUUGACGUCCAGACAUGAUGCUACUGCAGACAUAAGAGACUGCAGACAUAAGCAUGAAGCUAGCUUUUCCAUGCACUGGAACCAGCCAGUACUCACCAGGUUGAGCUGGUCUGGAGCUGAACCCAGCUUCUCCGAGGUCUGCCCGUGGUAGAUGCUCCUUAUCCGUUUCCCUGAGGCGACCAAGCACAGCACGAGAGCCCAAGGCCCCCAUGCAGAUAAUGGACAAAGGCAGGACUUCGUGUUAGUGGCCCACCUUCCUCUUCCUCGACGGUGGCUCCAGCCCCUUCAUGUCGCCUCCAAGCUCCUGCCCAAGUGUUCCCACCCGCACUGCUGGGAGCAGCUCCUCUGUGUUUUCAGGGCCACUUUGCUGUCGUCCUUUGAAGGUUCUCUUGGCGACUCUAGGAAGACUCCAUGGUACAGGUGACCUUCUGUAUCUGUGGAGGAUCGGUUCCCAGAUACCCCCGCCCACGGAUCCCAAAAUCCCAGGAGCCAAGCCUUGUCUAAAGUGCCGGAGUGCAGCCUGGCCUCCAGAACACGUGAGAACAGAGCAGCCGUACUCUGUUUCCAACGAGCCGAUGGCCAAAGCCCCGCUGUGCGUGUUCUCUAUGGACUGAACAGCCAGUGGCCCUGUAGCAGUGAAGCCUCACACCGUCCUCCAGGCUGGAAGGGACCCUUGAGUCACAGAACUUGCCAGUUUGCAAACAUGUCUCUAGUUGUAACAACUUUCAUCUGUCAAAUGAGGGCUCUUCAUUUCUAAGGUUCUAGAAGCCGGCCGUGGUCAUUUAGUCCCUCAGCUGGGUGUACUGAAAUCUGGGCCAGAGGCACAGCUUCCUCGCUAAGACACCCCCCCACCCCAGCACCCUGUACACACACACAGGCAGAGGCCAAGCUGCCUGCCUCCCCGCACCCCCUAGAAUGCUAACCACUGGGGACCGAGGGGCAGUUCCUACCUUUUACAUCCUUACAUACUGAAUCUGGCGCUGGCUCCUGGGCUGCAUCUUCUUAACUGCAAACACUCUAUACCAUCCCUCUCUGGUUCCACCAGCCACCACCCUCCUUCCGUGUCCUCCUCUGAACGUGCCUGAUAAAGGCUUUUGAGUGACUGAAUGAGUGGACGGCUCCCAUCUUCUGUCAUCUCAAUGAGUGCUGCUCCCCAGCUGACUGGAACCAGACGCCCUAGUUCCCAGGCUGGGUUUCCCUCCAGAUGUGUUCUCCUGCAGUGUCGGUUCCACCGUUAAACAGCUGUAUCGCUCAGCAGGUACGCAACGUUGAUGCGCCUCCAUUUCCUCCUCUGCAGAAUUGUGGGCGUUCCUGUCGUGGCUCAGCAGAAUCCGGCUUGUAUCCACGAGGAUGCGGGUUCUAUCCCUGGCCUCGCUCGGUGAAUCUGGGAUCCAGCCUUGCCGUGAGCUGUGGUGUAGGCCGGAAGCUGUAGCUCCAAUUUGACCCCUAGCCUGGAAACUUCCAUAUGCUGAGGGUUCGGCCUUAAAAACAACAACAACAACAAAAUAGUACUUACGUCAUAGGGUUGCUGUCAGCAUUAAAUGAGAGAGUCUGUUAAAAACGCCGAGAACAUUGCCUGGCAAUAUACAUUGCAGAAUACUCAAUAAAUAUUAGCUGGUGUUAUUUCAUACUUCAUCAAACACAACCUUCGUCACACAUCACUGUGCUUCUUAUUUAAUUUGUUGACUUUCCAAAAAGACUGUAAGCUCACGUCUGCCGUGGUCUUAUCCCCAGGGUGGUGGUCUGGCAGGUGGUCAGGGGUCGAUAUAGGUCUAAAUGCACCCCUGCAAGAAUGGGCGCGCUGAGGGCGGACACGAAUUUCUUCCACCUGUGACAUUUCAAAGAAUGGUUGAAACUGGUGCCUCUAUAACAUCUGAGAAGGAGACAGGAGACGCUAUUGCCAAGUGGCUACGUGCGCAGAGGGCGAAGCCAGAGGGGAUGAAUUGGAAGCCCAACUCCACGCUCAGUAGAACGUGACCGUACAUCACCCAGCUUCUGUGCCUCUGUUUCCUCGUCUGUGAAAUGGGAAGGAUGAUAAUAGCACCAACCUCGGAGGGUUUUCAGGAAGCUUGAAUGAGUUCAUGUUUGGAAGGUCGUCGGCAUCACGUAAGUGCUAGCUGCCAUCUGCGCCAUUGGUAAGGACAUGACACAAAGAAGACUUGAGAGAGGAAAAAGCCACCAUGGCUGGAAGGCAGGGCUCAGAACAGGCCUGGGGCCAGGCCAGGAGGGUCCUGCACCAUUGACCUAUGGUCCGAGUAUUUUUGGUUUACAUGGUCCAGGCCACUCUUGAGGGCAGGGGCUUGGGGGGGCGGGGAUUCUAGAAGCCUGAUUUGCACUGCCCUGCCCCCCAGCUCUCAGCACAAACCCUGCCCCCAGGGAGGGAAGACGCAUCCCGGCCCAGCCCCGCUGCUCCUCAGGGGCCUGCUGAGGCCGGCCACUCCUCCCACCCCGCCAGCUCCCCCUGGGGGACUUUGUCAUCACCACGUGGUUCAGGGACCCUCCAGACCCCCAGGGUGGCUGUCCUCUUCUCCGCUGCUGCGCCUCCAAGCCCGGGCCUCAGAGGAGCCCGGCUGCCACAGGACAGCCACCUCCUCCCUGGGCCUCACCGUCACUGACCCAAAAAUGGGUCAGAUUUGCUCAAGAUUCAUGACUUUUACGUAACACUGCUGUUAAACACAGGUGUGACUAUUUAAACGAUUUGAAUAAGAUGCUAAUAAAUGAACCUACUGCCUUGCGAUGGCCGAGCUCUCACUUCAGGAUCGCCGCAACACGAGUGCAGAACGAAUGCCUGGCUGGUGACGGGUUAAAGAAGUCGGUAUCGGCAGGCUUUCAGGAAGGAUCCAGCACGUGGUCCACGAGGUUCCUCAACUGAUGGGGCAGCAGGGACAGCUUCCCUCACUGGUGCCCGCUCACUGCCUGACGGGGGGCAGAGUCCAUCCAGGCAACACACAAUUUCAAAAAUGUGUUUAUCUUCUUCUUUUUUCUUUUUGUGGCCACACCAGUGGCCUAGGGAAGUUCCCGGGCUAGGGGUCGAAUCGGAGCUGCAGCUGCCGGCCUGCUCCACAGCCACAGCAGCUGGAAUCCGAGUCUCGUCUGUGACCCACACCACAGCUCAGGGCGACGUCGGAUCCUUAACCCACUGAGCGAGGCCGGGGAUCGAACCUGGGUCCUCAUGCACACUAGUCGGGGUCUUAACCCUCUGACUCGCAAUGGGAACUCCUAAAACGUUUUCUGACGGGGAUGCAGUCCCCCUUUAGACUGGCAUGCCGCGGCAUAAAGGCGGAAAUGCAGCUUUCUUCGUUCCACGCAGGGCCUCGCUCUCUGGACAGAGGCGGGAGGUGGGACAGGCAGACGGGAACGUCUGGGCUCGUGGCGAGAUUAUCCUGGAAGAGAAGACCGUUCAAACCGCUUGAAGCCCGUUGGGAUCCAAGGUAAGCGGCUUCACAAUCAGCCAAAGAUAAAAUGUUUUGAAAAGCACUGAAACUUCCUAUAGUGAGGGGUUAACUCCGUGGAGGCGUCUGGCUGCGUGGAGAGGGGCCUGGCGAGCAGAGCUGAGCGGCGGGCAGGAAGGGAAGAGGCUGCCUCCCGCCCGGGGCACACAGCCCACAGGCCUCCUGCGCGUGCUGGCCGGUGAUCGGCCAGGAAGGAUGACAGCGUGGCAGCAAGAGGCCACCGCGUGCUCCGAGGGGCUUCAGAUCCCUCCGUGCCUCUUGGUUUGACCCUGGCUUCUUGACUCCUCACGUUCCCCAGCACUACCACGGACCAGACCUUCUAGGACCAACCCUAUACCUCUUCCUCCAACCUCCUCUUGGCCAUGAACUCAGAAGCCAAGGACCCCGCUGACAUCCUGCUGCGGAUGGAUGGCUCGCACCGGCUGGGACCCCAGGUUUUCCUGUUACGUGUCACCGAAGCCUCUCACAAGCCCUGGAAACAUCAUCAGGCACAGGAAGUUCUCAGCAAGAAUCUGAUUUUGGUUCUCCGUGACUCCCCCUCAGGGAUUAGUCUUUGUAGUACAGUUUCCAGAGUUCCCGCUGUGGCUCAGUUGGAAGGAACCCGACUAGUAGCCGUGAGAACACGGGUUCAAUCCCUAGCCUCGCUCAGUGGGUUAAGGAUCCAGUGCUGCUGUGAGCUGUGUGUAGCUCGGAUCUGGCAUGGCUGUGGCUGUGGCCUGGCAGCUGCAGCUCCGAUUCAACCCCUAGCCCAGGAACUUCCAUAUGUCGCAGGUGCAGCCCUAAAAAGAAAAAAAAAAAAAAAAA